AGCUGAUAUAGGUACAUUUUAAAAACCAUGUCUGAUGGUAUUCAGUUAAUCAGUUAAUUAUUAAAAAAUAACUAAAUUAGGUUACGGACACUAAAGUAGUAAGACUCUUUUUAUGUUCACAACCAGGAAGUGUUGUUGCCUUCCUUUUUUCUGUUUCCUCCUUUUCCGUCUGACCCUCUGCUUCUCCUUCAGUUUCUUCCUCUGUUUCCGUUACUUUUUCUGCUGCCCGAGGCUAACCGCAAGGACAAGAAGCCACUGUAUGGAAGCAAAAAACUGUCAGCGUCGUUCUUCCAACUUUACUUGUGGAGAAAAUAGAUGUUUCAAAAAAAACAAGGUCAGCUCUAAAGAAGCAGCAUGAGGUUGAGGAGAUCCAGUGCAG